GUUAAGUUGCUUAGGGCCUUGUUGAGUUGCUGAGGCUAUCCUUGAACUUGUGAUACUCCUGCCUCAACCUCCAGAGCUGCUGGGAUUAUAGGCAUGUGCUGUCAUGCCUGGUUCAUUUCAAUUAAUGGUCAUUUAUGCUUUGCUUACUAGGUGAUAGAAAAUUAGAGGAGUAGUGAUACAUAGAGGAAUAACAGUAGCUCCUAUAGUGGGCUCCUCUGGUGAGAGUGCUGGGAUAACACAAAUCUGUAAGAUCGCUUCAGAAAUAAAUUGAAUGAUAUUUAUUAGAAAGUGUCUAAAACUUUGCAUGCUCUUUAACUGAUUAAUACUUGGAAAGUACUCAAAGGAAGAAAAAGGACUAAUGUACAUAUGUGUUUAUUACGUAUAUCUAAUGCUAGAAAAUUUGAAGGAACUUGAAUGUUUCAUGAUUUAAUGAUUAAGAAAAUUAUACGUUUACCUUUGAUUAACUGUAACACAAAAAUGAAAAUGAUAAUUAUGUUAGCUUUGCAAUACCAUAGAAAAUGUUUAGAUAUGUAAUGUGAAAAAAAAAUGUGUAAUGUAUUUUAAUUCUAUGAAAAUAUACAAAUGAGAAAUUAAAAGUUUAAAAAGUGAUAGCUAUAUUAGCAUGGUGGUGUUUUA
rnacentral:lncRNA from 1 species